ACGACUCUCGGCAACGGAUAUCUCGGCUCACGCAUCGAUGAAGAACGUAGCAAAAUGCGAUACUUGGUGUGAAUUGCAGAAUCCCGUGAACCAUCGAGUUUUUGAACGCAAGUUGCGCCCGAAGCCAUUUGGUUGAGGGCACGUCUGCCUGGGCGUC
rnacentral:rRNA from 1 species